rnacentral:rRNA from 1 species
UACGUAGGGUGCGAGCGUUGUCCGGAAUUAUUGGGCGUAAAGAGCUCGUAGGCGGCUUGUCGCGUCGGAUGUGAAAGCCCGGGGCUUAACUCCGGGUCUGCAUUCGAUACGGGCAGGCUAGAGUUCGGUAGGGGAGAUCGGAAUUCCUGGUGUAGCGGUGAAAUGCGCAGAUAUCAGGAGGAACACCGGUGGCGAAAGCGGCUCACUGGACCAUUACUGACGCUGAUGCACGAAAGCUAGGGGAGCAAACAGG